UCUCCGUUGGUGAACCAGCGGAGGGAUCAUUACCGAAGUUACCCUUCUAAACCCAUUGUGAACCUUACCUCUUGCCGCGCGUUGCCUCGGCGGGGAGGCGGGGGUGGGUCGGCGCGCCCCUCUGCGGGCCGCCGUCCCCGCCCCCGUCCCCGCCGGCCGCGCCAAACUCUAAAUUUGCAAAGCGGACUGCACGUUCUGAUUUAAAACAAAAAACAAGUAAAAACUUUUAACAACGGAUCUCUUGGUUCUG
rnacentral:misc_RNA from 1 species